GAAAACUAGUAAACAACUCAGUGAAGCAUCUAUGGAUGGCAGGAGAGCUGCCAAGCUGUCAUAACUCCUGUAGAUGCCCAGAGUGGAGGGUCUGAUGACUGCUGUCUAAUGUCUUUCCAGAUUUCUAACCUUUACAUCUAUGACACGGUGCUUCUGCUUGCAAACGCCUUCCAUAAGAAGCUGGAGGACCGGAAGUGGCACAGCAUGGCGAGCUUGUCCUGUAUCAGGAAAAACUCCAAGCCCUGGCAGGGAGGGCGGUCCAUGCUGGAGACCAUCAAGAAGGGUGGAGUUAAUGGAUUGACUGGAGAUCUAGAAUUUGGAGAAAAUGGAGGUAACCCCAAUGUCCACUUCGAAAUCCUUGGAACCAACUAUGGAGAAGAACUUGGCAGGGGUGUCCGUAAAGUAAGCCUAGACGUUUCAUAUUAUUUUAUUCUAUUCUGUUGCUGUUUUACAAUAUAAUUCUCUUUUUGCAGUGUGAUCACAGUGUCAUUAAAAUGCAUGUGUUCUAAAAGAGACUGUGAGCAGGAAUAAGGAAGGGAGGGCACUCCUUAGAUAGACGGCUGGCGUUUAGAGUACUCUAAGAUACAUAAGAAGUACAUGGAACAAUUAAUUAGAUUCAUACCUUAGAAUAAUUUAACUGGAGAGAAAUAUCAUAGUGCUUGCCUAGGGAAAUAGUUUCAUGUUUCUUUCAGUCAUUGUAUUAAUGCUUUUAUGAAAUACUAAAUUAAAUAUUUAGACAAAGCAAAGCUGUUUGAUUUUUAGUUUGUGACAUGCACAGAAUCAGAAUAAGUGUUCGAGUAAGUUUAAUACAGUAGUAUUGAAAGUCAGCUAGAGAAAGUG
rnacentral:lncRNA from 14 species